GUGGCGAACGGGUGAGUAACACGUGAGUAACCUGCCCUUAACUCUGGGAUAAGCCUUGGAAACGGGGUCUAAUACUGGAUAUUGACUUUACCUCGCAUGGGGUUUUGUUGAAAGAUUUAUUGGUUUUGGAUGGACUCGCGGCCUAUCAGCUUGUUGGUGAGGUAAUGGCUCACCAAGGCGACGACGGGUAGCCGGCCUGAGAGGGUGACCGGCCACACUGGGACUGAGACACGGCCCAGACUCCUACGGGAGGCAGCAGUGGGGAAUAUUGCACAAUGGGCGAAAGCCUGAUGCAGCGACGCCGCGUGAGGGAUGACGGCCUUCGGGUUGUAAACCUCUUUCAGUAGGGAACAAGGCCAGCAUUUUUGUUGGUUGAGGGUACUUGCAGAAGAAGCGCCGGCUAACUACGUGCCAGCAGCCGCGGUAAUACGUAGGGCGCAAGCGUUAUCCGGAAUUAUUGGGCGUAAAGAGCUCGUAGGCGGUUUGUCGCGUCUGCCGUGAAAGUCCGGGGCUCAACUCCGGAUCUGCGGUGGGUACGGGCAGACUAGAGUGAUGUAGGGGAGACUGGAAUUCCUGGUGUAGCGGUGAAAUGCGCAGAUAUCAGGAGGAACACCGAUGGCGAAGGCAGGUCUCUGGGCAUUAACUGACGCUGAGGAGCGAAAGCAUGGGGAGCGAACAGGAUUAGAUACCCUGGUAGUCCAUGCCGUAAACGUUGGGCACUAGGUGUGGGGGACAUUCCACGUUUUCCGCGCCGUAGCUAACGCAUUAAGUGCCCCGCCUGGGGAGUACGGCCGCAAGGCUAAAACUCAAAGGAAUUGACGGGGGCCCGCACAAGCGGCGGAGCAUGCGGAUUAAUUCGAUGCAACGCGAAGAACCUUACCAAGGCUUGACAUGAACUGGAAAUACCUGGAAACAGGUGCCCCGCUUGCGGUCGGUUUACAGGUGGUGCAUGGUUGUCGUCAGCUCGUGUCGUGAGAUGUUGGGUUAAGUCCCGCAACGAGCGCAACCCUCGUUCUAUGUUGCCAGCACGUAAUGGUGGGGACUCAUAGGAGACUGCCGGGGUCAACUCGGAGGAAGGUGAGGACGACGUCAAAUCAUCAUGCCCCUUAUGUCUUGGGCUUCACGCAUGCUACAAUGGCCGGUACAAUGGGUUGCGAUACUGUGAGGUGGAGCUAAUCCCAAAAAGCCGGUCUCAGUUCGGAUUGGGGUCUGCAACUCGACCCCAUGAAGUCGGAGUCGCUAGUAAUCGCAGAUCAGCAACGCUGCGGUGAAUACGUUCCCGGGCCUUGUACACACCGCCCGUCAAGUCACGAAAGUUGGUAACACCCGAAGCCGGUGGCCUA
rnacentral:rRNA from 1 species